rfam:Daucus carota subsp. sativus cultivar DH1 chromosome 1, whole genome shotgun sequence.
UGGAGAAGGGGAGCACGUGCAAAUAGGCCGGAGUGGAUCGGUUUGCACGUGCCCUGCUUCUCCAAC